CAGUCGCCGCGGUAAUACGGAGGAUUUAAGCGUUAUCCGGAAUCAUUGGGUUUAAAGGGUCCGUAGGCGGUCUUGUAAGUCAGUGGUGAAAGCCCAUCGCUCAACGGUGGAACGGCCAUUGAUACUGCAGGACUUGAAUUAUUGGGAAGUAACUAGAAUAUGUAGUGUAGCGGUGAAAUGCUUAGAGAUUACAUGGAAUACCAAUUGCGAAGGCAGGUUACUACCAAUUGAUUGACGCUGAUGGACGAAAGCGUGGGUAGCGAACAGGAUUAGAUACCCCCGUAGUCCCUGUCUCUUAUAC
rnacentral:rRNA from 1 species